AUCUGCAAUGGCCCAGUUGAGGGUUAAACAAGAAGCCUCAACUUCUGUCGUUUCUAGAAAAUGUAUAAGAGAGCCUAGCGGUGCUCUUGGCGUUCGAUCAGUUGCAAGCAUUAGCUCGAAUAUAUCUACUCAUCUUAAUUCAAUCUUUAAGGGUCCUAUGGAGGUUGCAGUUUUGUUGAGAGAGGGUCUGCUUGACCCAUCAAAGCACACAACGAUUGUUUUUAAGAAAAAUGUACCUCUGAAUCUUGUCUAAGUAGUAAACGUUGACCGAAUAGAGACGUUGGGUAGUAGUGAGUCGAUUGUCAAAUGACAGACUGUUGGAGGAAAACUUGGAGUUGCUAGAAAUGGUACCAAACUUAAUAGGACAAUACGGAAUCAAGAGACCCGUUUCAAAACACCAAACAGUUAUCGAAUACCCAUUUCAAAAUCGAUCAAUAACAUGGUGGACUUUAUAUCUUCUCAGCUUAAAGAGAGAGUCGGUGCAGGUGGACUGAAUGUGGCUAAAAAGCAACUGGAAGCCAAAGAUAUUAUCUAUCAUUAAAGGUUGAUCUUUUCUUAUCCUUUUAUUCUAUAUAGAAUUGAAUUUUUCUGUUUUCUCAUGGAACUAUCAAGGGUGUGUGAGUGAAAAAUAUCCUUGUAUUUUUUUUGAGAAUAUAAUUCAGAGUAUAGACCUAAAUAUUAUUAGCUUACUAGAGCUGAGGGUUAAUGGUUUUAAAGCUGAUGUUAUUAUUUCCAAGAUGGGUUUCCAGCACUCUCACCAGGUAGAAGCAGUUGGCUUUUUUUGUGGCAUAUGGGUGGGUUGGAAAGAUUCGAUAAAGUUCAAUGGGACGAAAAGGAAGAUACUUUGGAAAGAUUUGAAGUCUUCCAUACCCUCUGAGUCAAUUCUUUGGAUGACGAUUGGGGAUUUUAAUGCAAUACUUUCAUUUAACAAAAAAUAAGGAGGGAGUGCCUGUGGAAGGAGGUGUUCCUCUUAUGGUGAAUUUUGUCGAGUUAGUUGAUUUGCAAGAUUUGAGGUUUAAGGGGUCGUCCUUUACUUGGCACAAAGGAAUGACCUUUGAGGCGUUUGACAGAGCGAUUGGUAAUGACGCUUAGGUGAGGAUAUUUCUAAACUGUUUGAUUACUCAUCUUUCGAGGCUAAAAUCGAAUCAUAGGCCUUUAUACAUUUCCUUAAGGUCAAAGUUUAACUUGCCUAAAUGCCAACCUUUCCGUUUCCUUGUUGGGUAGACCGAGCAUCCUAGUUUUUCCAAUUUUUCCAAAGAAAAUUAAAAAUUCAAUGGGAGUAUGUUUGAAUCUCUCUAUCUAUAUCUCUAAAAUCUUUGAAUCUCUCUAUCUAUACCUCUAAGAUCAAUUAUUGGAAUAAGUUUGUUUACAGUCAUAUUGGCGCUCAUAAAAGAAAAUUGGUUUUUAAUUUAUCUAAAAUUAAAAGGCAAUAGAACAAUGGGGAUCAAACCAUUUGAUUCAACAGGAGUGGGAGGUAAGGGAGGAGCUGAAAUCAGUUUUACAUCAUAAAGAGUUAUUGUGGAAACAAAAAACUUGAUGUGAUUGGCUUAGUUUGGGUAACCGAAAUACUAGAUUAUUUUCAUAGUCGUACACUAAAAAAGAGAAGUUUAAUCAUAUUAAUGCUUUACGAAAUUAGGAUGGGAAGUGGAUUUAUGACCCAGAAGAUAUUCAAGCUGAAGCAAUUAGUUAUUUUCAAAAAUUGUAUAGGAAAGUUAUUACAUAGAUGAAAGGCCUGCCACCUAGCUCGUUCCCUCAGCUUGAUUAUAGUGACCGAGACUUCCUGGGUAAAACAAUUUCAGAUAAUGAAAUUAAGAAUGCUCUUUUUAAUAUGGCUCCUCUGAAAGCUCUAGAGGGUGAUGGGUUUCAUGCUCUCUUUUCUUAAAACCAGUAGGGAUCUUUAGAAGCACUAUUUGUGAAUCAAUCAAGAUAGUGUUUGAUAGUGGAACCAUUGUUCCGAGUCUGAACAAUACUUUUAUUGUUCUCAUACUUAAGGUUUUUAAUCCUGAGAGUAUUACUCAAUUUUGACUCAUAAGCCUCUGUUUAGUUUUAUACAAGUUAAUUAGGAAGAUCAUAGUUAUUCAUUUUAAGAUGAUCUAUCCUAAAAUCAUAGUGCAAAAGUAAGUCGGUUUUAUUAGGGGGAAGAACAUUUCAAAUAACAUCAUUAUUGCACAAGAUGUUAUUCAUUCAAUGAAAGGGGAACAUAAUAAGAAACGGUGGAUGAUUGUCAAAAUUGAUUUGGAAAAAACACAUGACAUGGUUUGAUAGGAUUUCAUUGAUAUUUCACUUCAAGUGACUGGUAUACCGGAAUACCUAUGAAAGGUAAUCUUGUCAACUAUCGCUAACUCCACUAUACAGAUCGUGUGGAAUGGGGUUCCUACACAAAGGUUUAAGCCUGCUAAAGGGAUUUGUCACGGGUGUCCGCUAUCCUCAUAUCUUUUUGUGCUAUGUAUGGAAUGGUUCGAACAUGGUAUUUAGUCAGUUAUCUCUAGUGGAAGAUGGUGUCCUAUCUGAUUAUUUCAGUCGAGAUCAAAAUUAUCUCACCUUUUUUUCACUUAUGAUCUGGUUAUUUUUUCUAAGCGGAUUUGCAGUAAGUUCGGAUUCUUAUGAAAAUUAUGGAUAGUUUUUGUGAUUUUUCGGGGCAUCGAGUUAAUGGUCUCAAGACUAAUACUUUUUUCGCUAAUAGAGUUAAAGAAGAGCUAGGAGAUAGGAUAAGUACUAUGCUUGGCUUUCAAAUGUUGCAAAAUCUUGGAACAUAUUUGGGAGUGCCUUUAUUUCAUGGAAGAGUAACUAACAGUACUUUAAGGUUUGUAGUUGAAAAGGUUCGAAGCAAAUUGCAUAAUUGGGAAGCUAGACAGCUUCCCCUUGUAGGCAGAGUUACCCUAGCGUAAUCUAUACUCCUAUCUAUUCUUAAUUACUUUAUGCAGUCCAUGAUGAUCUCAAAAGGUAUAUGUGAAGAGAUUGAGCGUAUAGUUAAGUAAUUUAUUUGGGAUUCAUCGAAUGGUACGAAGAAGAAGACUUUAGUCAAUUGGGACUUAGUAUGUCAACCUUGUCCAUAUGGAGGCCUCAAGAUCUAACAUGUGGGGGAUCAGAAUGUUUUCUUUUUUAUGAAGUUAGGGCUUUUUUAUAACCUCAAAGAAUGAUACUCUAUGGGUUCGUGUUCUUAGAUUAAAGUACAGUAUAAAGGAGAGCGUGUAGGAUAGUAUCGCGUAAGGGAGAUGCUCUUUCUUUUAAAAGGCUCUUGAUAAGGUUUGGUCUUUACUUCAUGAGAACUUAGUGUGGCUUGUGGGGGACGACAGCUCCAUUUGGUGUUGGAAGGAUUACUGGAUUCUGCACUUAGGGCCAUUGAUUAAACAAAUACCUUCUUAAAAAUGUUUUGUGUAUGAUUGCCAACUUAAUGAAAUGGUAAUAGAAUAAGGUAUGUGGAAUCUUGAUAUGUUUUGUGUUUGGCUACUAGAAGAUUGUGUUAGAAGAAUUGUAAGCAUUCCCCCUCCACACUUAGUAAUUGAGUCGGAUUGGAUCACUUGGCUACACACUCCAAUAGGGUCUUUCUCUGUUAAAAGUGCGUAUUGGUCUCUUCGGGAGAGUUCGUGGCAUUCUAAAGAGUAGAGAGUCCCUUGAAAGUAUCAAGGAGCCUAAUGAGUUUGGUUAUUCAUUUGGCUCAUCUUUAAACAGCAACUUAUUACUAAUGAGGAAAAAGUAACAAAAGGCAUUAGUUAGGAUCGUUUUUGUUUGUUUUGUCAAAAUGAGAUAGAGGAUAUUUUGCACGUGCUUAGAGAUUGUUCAUUUGCAAAAAAAGGUUUGGUUUCAGGUUGUACUUAUUAGUCAACAUUGUAUGUUUUUCUCCACAAACUUAGUCAAAUGGUUGGAGUACAACUUAAGUGAACAUUUAUGGAUGUCUAGUGUGGAGGUUAGUUGGUCUUGUCUUUUUGGGAUGCUUGCUUGACGUAUAUGGAAAAAUAGAAACUUAAUUCUCUUCCAAGGAAUAACUUAGAAUACUAUUGAGACAGUUAAUAUCUUCAUUAGUUGGGCAAAACAGUAUGCUUUAACGCAUAUGAAGACCACAUUUGGGCAAUAAAAAAUUGAUUCAAACCUUCCCUUGAAAGGUAAUUAGUGCCUCUUGAAUACUAAUGAGGUGGUUAAACCAAAUACAGGGCUUGCUUCUAACGGGGGUGUUUUGAGAUAAAAAUAGAGAGUGGAUCCUUGGAUACAACCAUUAUUUAAGGGUGUGUUCAGUGUUGGAGGCUGAGCUAUGAGGGAUUUUGGAUGGCCUAACUCUUUUUCAAAGGCAGGGUCUCGACGGAGUAAUAAUCCAAACAGAUAAUUUAGAAGUGGUUAAAGUCCUCUAAGACAGGCAAGUUGUAAGUUCGAAUUCAGCCUUAGUGAGAAGGAUUCUUCAAGUAUUACAACUUGUUGGACAUUGGAGAUUAUGACAUGUUUUUAAUGUGGCAAAUAGAAUUGCGAAUUCUUUAACCAAAAUAUCUUUUAACAAAAAAGACGAUGUUUAGGUAUUUAAGGAGAUCAUUGGAGAAUUCAUAGCUCUCUUUGAGUUUGAUAUAGCAAGUGUUGCUUUCAUUCCAUAUUAGUUUAAUGUAAUGAUUUUGUUUCUCCUCGCCAAAAAAUUCAAAAUUGAAUUUCUAACUAACACUUUUUAUAAUUUCCGAUCCCUUUUUACCCAUUUAAAACAUUUUAGGCUUUUUUUUAUUUUAAUUGGGUUGGUUGGCCCAAAAAUAUAUAAUUCUAAUUUUAUUAUGAAAAUUAAAGGAAAAAGUGUGUUAAAAAAAAAGAAAGAAUGUUGUGAUUGAUGGGACGUGGACCACGCAAUGUGCCACCAACCGCCACCCAUUUAAUAGGAUGGGAAAGAAAGCCAAAUUUUUGGGGAUUUGGCUUUUAAAUGGCCAAGGAGAGCAGAAAAUUAUGGAAGAAAAAAAGGGAGAAACUUUGAUGAGGGCUGGGAGCUGCUCGGCAAGGGAAAAGAAGAAGCUUUUGUUGGAUGCUAUGUGAACAAGGCAGCUUUGGCAAAUUCUGACUCUUUCGAGUUUGCAUCAGGGCUCUCUGGGUACAAAGUGCUGCAGGUUCCGAGCGGAUACUGAGUGUAAGCGAGGAUCGAUGGUCUUUCAAUGCAUUUCUUGCUGUUGGAUCAAGGGUUGUCAAGUAGAAAUAGGGGAUGCCGGUGCUUUCAUCCGGUACCCCAUCGCUAAAGGAAACAACAUACCUGUGGCACAAGUUUAACAUUGUAUUGAAUGGGGGGAAAAUGUAGGACCAUAAGAGAGUAUCACAACAUGUUUGGGCAACUAGCUUUGAGUAUCAAAUGUUUGGACAUUUUAAAUACGCAUAAGCUACUAAAAGGAACAAAAGUGAACUUAAACA